GAGUUUGAUCGUGGCUCAGAUUGAACGCUGGCGGCAUGCCUAACACAUGACAAGUCGGAACGGCAGCACUGGGAGCUUGCUCCCUGGUGGCGAGUGGCGGACGGGUGAGUAACGCGUAGGAAUCUGCCUCAUAGCGGGGGACAACUCGGGGAAACUCGAGCUAAUACCGCAUACUACUCGAGAGAGGAAAGCAGGGGACCUUCGGGCCUUGCACUAUGAGAUGAGCCUGCGUUGGAUUAGCUAGUUGGUAGGGUAAAGGCCUACCGAAGGCGACGAUCCAUAACUGGUUUGAGAGGAUGACCAGUCACACUGGGACUGAGACACGGCCCAGACUCCUACGGGAGGCAGCAGUGGGGAAUAUU
rnacentral:rRNA from 1 species